rnacentral:rRNA from 1 species
UACGAAGGGGGCUAGCGUUGCUCGGAAUCACUGGGCGUAAAGCGCACGUAGGCGGACUCUUAAGCCGGUGGUGAAAUCCUGGAGCUCAACUCCAGAACUGCCUUCGAUACUGAGAGUCUUGAGUCCGAGAGAGGUGAGUGGAACUGCGAGUGUAGAGGUGAAAUUCGUAGAUAUUCGCAAGAACACCAGUGGCGAAGGCGGCUCACUGGCUCGGUACUGACGCUGAGGUGCGAAAGCGUGGGGAGCAAACAGG